rnacentral:rRNA from 1 species
GACGAACGCUGGCGGCGUGCUUAACACAUGCAAGUCGAACGGAAAGGCCCUGCUUUUGUGGGGUGCUCGAGUGGCGAACGGGUGAGUAACACGUGAGUAACCUGCCCUUGACUUUGGGAUAACUUCAGGAAACUGGGGCUAAUACCGGAUAGGAGCUCCUGCUGCAUGGUGGGGGUUGGAAAGUUUCGGCGGUUGGGGAUGGACUCGCGGCUUAUCAGCUUGUUGGUGGGGUAGUGGCUUUCCAAGGCUUUGACGGGUAGCCGGCCUGAGGGGGUGACCGGAGACAUUGGGACUGAGAUACGGACCAGAAGCCUACGGGAGGCAGCAGUGGGGAAUAUUGCACAAUGGGCGGAAGCCUGAUGCAGCAACGCCGCGUGCGGGAUGACGGCCUUCGGGUUGUAAACCGCUUUCGCAUGUGACGAAGCGUGAGUGACGGUAAUGGGUAAAGAAGCACCGGCUAACUACGUG